rnacentral:rRNA from 1 species
GGGGGAUAUUGCACAAUGGAGGAAACUCUGAUGCAGCAACGCCGCGUGAGGGAAGACGGUUUUCGGAUUGUAAACCUCUGUCCUUGGUGACGAAAAAAAGACGGUACCCAAGAAGAAAGUCCCGGCUAACUACGUGCCAGCAGCCGCGGUAAUACGUAGGGGACAAGCGUUGUCCGGAUUUACUGGGCGUAAAGGGCACGCAGGCGGUUUUUUAAGUCAGAUGUGAAAGGUACCGGCUCAACCGGUGACAUGCAUUUGAAACUGAAAGACUUGAGUAUUGGAGAGGCAAGUGGAAUUCCUAGUGUAGCGGUGAAAUGCGUAGAUAUUAGGAGGAACACCGGUGGCGAAGGCGGCUUGCUGGACAAAUACUGACGCUGAGGUGCGAAAGCGUGGGGAGCAAACA